UGGGAUAUGGCUCAGUAGGUAGAGUGCUUGCCUAGCAUGCAUGGGGCUCUAGGUUUAAGCCCCUGUGCUUCAU
rnacentral:tRNA from 1 species